UGGUGGAGUGAUUCGUCUGGUUAAUUCCGUUAACGAACGAGACCUCGACCUGCUAAAUAGUUCGGUGUACCCUCGGGUACAUACGUGACUUCUUAGAGGGACUGUCGGUUUUAGCCGAAGGAAGUUCGAGGCAAUAACA
rnacentral:rRNA from 1 species